GACGAACGCUGGCGGCGUGCUUAACACAUGCAAGUCGAACGGAAAGGCCCUGCUUUUGUGGGGUGCUCGAGUGGCGAACGGGUGAGUAACACGUGAGUAACCUGCCCUUGACUUUGGGAUAACUUCAGGAAACUGGGGCUAAUACCAGAUAGGAGCUCCUGCUGCAUGGUGGGGGUUGGAAAGUUUCGGCGGUUGGGGAUGGACUCGCGGCUUAUCAGCUUGUUGGUGGGGUAGUGGCUUACCAAGGCUUUGACGGGUAGCCGGCCUGAGAGGGUGACCGGCCACAUUGGGACUGAGAUACGGCCCAGACUCCUACGGGAGGCAGCAGUGGGGAAUAUUGCACAAUGGGCGGAAGCCCGAUGCAGCAACGCCGCGUGCGGGAUGACGGCCUUCGGGUUGUAAACCGCUUUCGCCUGUGACGAAGCGUGAGUGACGGUAAUGGGUAAAGAAGCACCGGCUAACUACGUG
rnacentral:rRNA from 1 species